rnacentral:rRNA from 1 species
CCCCUCAAGAUGAGAUUUCCCAACUUCGGUUAUAAGAUCCCUCAAAGAUGAUGAGGUUAAUAGGUUCGAGGUGGAAGCAUGGUGACAUGUGGAGCUGACGAAUACUAAUCGAUCGAAGACUUAAUCAA